UGGUGAGAACUGGCUCUAAUGGAGGAAGUGGUGCUGGAGGGAGGAGUUUUGGAGAUGAUGGUAUGGGCAGAGUCUGGAAAUAUAAAAAA